rnacentral:rRNA from 1 species
GACGAACGCUGGCGGCGUGCUUAACACAUGCAAGUCGAACGGUGAUGAUGGGGCUUGCCCUGUCGGAUCAGUGGCGAACGGGUGAGUAACACGUGAGUAACCUGCCCCAGACUCUGGGAUAACUCCGGGAAACCGGAGCUAAUACCGGAUAGGACCCUUGGACGCAUGUUCUGGGGGUGGAAAGUUUUUCGGUUUGGGAUGGGCUCGCGGCCUAUCAGCUUGUUGGUGAGGUAGUGGCUCACCAAGGCGACGACGGGUAGCCGGCCUGAGAGGGCGACCGGCCACACUGGGACUGAGACACGGCCCAGACUCCUACGGGAGGCAGCAGUGGGGAAUAUUGCACAAUGGGCGCAAGCCUGAUGCAGCGACGCCGCGUGAGGGAUGACGGCCUUCGGGUUGUAAACCUCUUUCAGCAGGGGAGAAGCCUUUUGGGGUGACGGUACCUGCAGAAGAAGCACCGGCUAACUACGUGCCAGCCGCCGCCGUAACAC